UCCUGCAACCAUCCAUAGUAAUUGGUUAUUUGGUUUGUUUAGCUUAGUUUUUUUUCCUUCAGUAAAGCAUAUAUGUAACUACUACUAGUAGGCCUGCUAGAUUAUUCUGCUUAGAUAGUGCAUCGGCGACGAUAGAAUCGCUGUCGUCACGUCGUCAGCCAGCUGAUCGACGUUCAACUCUGUCGCGGUCCCGGCGGGACCCGGCGGCGCCACCACCAAUGCGAUCGCCGUCGAGCGGGCCGUCCAGAAGAAAGUUGCAGCACCGUUUCUGUCAGUCGGCUGCUUGUAGACUUGGAAUAAUCUUUGAGGCCUCACACAAGUUGUAACAGUUGGCUCAAGAAUCAAACUCCAACCCGCGUGACUAUGAUGGAGAGUCGAAUCCGCCUGUGAACAGCAAUCAUGCUGCACAACCCGCGUGACUAUGAUGGAGAGUCGAAUCCGCCUGUGAACAGCAAUCAUGCUGCACAACCCGCGUGACUAUGAUGGAAGACAUUGUCAAAGUCCAAGCUCUGAACAGUGCAGCUGCGGCUCGCAACCUCCUAAUAUAAGAACCAAUCAGCAGGCAGCUAUGACUGGACUGGAUUGUUCAACAACCACCGAUCAGAACCCCGUAACUAAACAACUCAUCAGGCCGACAUGACGGUUCGUCCGUUUAUGCCGCCCAUAUUCGUGCGGUGCCGGCCGUUAUGGCGUUAUACAUGCAACCAACUGAACAACUGAAGAUAUGAUUGGAUUUGAACGAAAGGGUAAAAAAAAAACAGCAAGAAGCGAAAACAGGGGGGGCACUGACC
rnacentral:lncRNA from 1 species